rnacentral:rRNA from 1 species
CGCCUGGGGAGUACGGGUGAGGUAACGGCUCACCCAGGCAUCGACGGGUAGCUGGUCUGAGAGGAUGAUCAGCCACACUGGGACUGAGACACGGCCCAGACUCCUACGGGAGGCAGCAGUGGGGAAUAUUGCACAAUGGGCGAAAGCCUGAUGCAGCAACGCCGCGUGCGGGAUGAAGGCCCUAGGGUUGUAAACCGCUUUCAGCAGGGAAGAAAAUGACGGUACCUGUAGAAGAAGGUGCGGCCAACUACGUGCCAGCAGCCGCGGUGACACGCAGGCACCAAGCGUUGUCCGGAUUUAUUGGGCGUAAAGAGCUCGUAGGCGGUUCAGUAAGUCGGGUGUGAAAACUCUGGGCUCAACCCAGAGACGCCACCCGAUACUGCUGUGACUAGAGUGCGGUAGGGGAGCGGGGAAUUCCUAGUGUAGCGGUGAAAUGCGCAGAUAUUAGGAGGAACACCAGUGGCGAAGGCGCCGCUCUGGGCCGUAACUGACGCUGAGGAGCGAAAGCGUGGGUAGUAAACAGGAUUAGAUACCCUGGUAGUCCACGCCGUAAACGUUGGGCACUAGGUGUGGGUCUCAACCAACGAGAUCCGCGCCGUCGCUAACGCAUUAAGUGCCCCGCCUGGGGAGUACGG